rnacentral:RNase_P_RNA from 1 species
GCGGGCUGAAUGACCGCGGUGUAAAUACGAGGAAAGUCCGAGCUCCACAGGACAGGGUGCCGGGUAAUACCCGGUGGAGGCGACUCCAAGGAAAGUGCAACAGAAAUAUACCGCCGCAGCAAUGCGGUAAGGAUGGAAAGGCGAGGUAAGAGCUCACCGGCCCUCGGGAGACCGAGAGGCCCUGUAAACCCCACCCGGAGCAAGAUUGAUAGUGAGAUGUUAACGGCGGUCCGUCGGUCUCCGUGUAAUCGCUUAAGCCCAUUUGGCAACUAUGGGAAUAGAUAGAUGGUCAUUUUUAACAGAACUCGGCUUACAGGCCCG